rnacentral:tRNA from 2 species
GCUAGCGAUAAUUUAAAGGGUAAAAAAAUUUAAUUUCAUAGUCGUAGGCUAGACAUUAAAAAUGAGAAUUCGAAUUUCUCUCCUGGCG